rnacentral:misc_RNA from 1 species
UCCGAGUUGUCCCCGGCAGUCUCCUACGAGUCCCCACCAUUACGUGCUGGCAACAUAGGACGAGGGUUGCGCUCGUUGCGGGACUUAACCCAACAUCUCACGACACGAGCUGACGACAGCCAUGCACCACCUGUACACCGACUCAAAGAGGGCACCCAUCUCUGGAUGUUUCCGGCGUAUGUCAAGCCUUGGUAAGGUUCUUCGCGUUGCAUCGAAUUAA